AGGUAGGCCUCGCAGCCGGUUGCUGGAGACGUCGAGCUCCUCCAGGGCAGCCAGCUGCAGCAGCUGCUGGGGAAAGGCGGUGAGCUGGUUGUGGUCCACGUCAAGGGUCCGAAGGUGGUUGAGGCAGGAGAAGGAAUCUGGCAGAUGCGCCAGCCGGUUGAAGCUGACAUCCAGCUCCUCCAGAUAAUCGAUCAUUUUGUUUAUCUGCUUAAGAGAGCUGAGUAGUGCCUGGGACCUGUCAGCUUUUAGGCAUGCCCCUUAUCACCCCGGCUAUAAAGGAGAUCUUUGACUCGCACCCAAGCUGAAGUUUCACUGCCACCCAUGUGACCUUGUACCUCUCCGAGAUCUCCACCCUUAUCAUAUCAUCAGCCUUACCCUCUCAAAGGGCACUUCACCAUUUCCUCUCCUGUGAAUAUGCAUUGAGAUGGGAAACUUCCUUUGGAUGCUGGCUUCUUCUCGGGUCUCUCAGUUCCAGAAAACACUGUGUCCCAGAAAAGCCAUUCCUUCGCUUGGUUCAACUGCUUUGGACUCUGAAAAUAGCUCUGAUUUCAUUCACUCAGCUGCUCUGGAGUUCAGAAGUGAAGACACUCGUGGCUGGAAGUUUUAACUAACUCUGGAGUAUAGAAAGGACCUGUCUGGUCCUAAAACAAAAUUUGCUGAUCAGGAAACCCUACAGAGCUAAGGGCAAUCAGGGCCAGGUUACUACAUCUUAGGAGAAGGUGAAUUGAACCCUCAAAGUCUGGAAAGGUUGAGUACCGCAUCUAUUUGGAACAAGCUCAGAACCUUUUAGAACCUUUACCUCUUCCUUUCUCAAAUGGCCUCUAUUUCUGAAAAGCCAAAUUAAAAAGGAGACGGGCUAUUCAAAACCUUGGAGGUGAGAUCAUCUGUGCUAUCUUUAGCUGAAUAGGGAGGAGAAGUAUUGCAAAGUGUUGGCUAGGUCUAAAAUUACAAGAGAGGAGAAGUCUGGGGGCCCACCCUGGCAUCCAUGGUGAAGGCUGAAGUGUUCAACGUGCAACUACUUAAGAAGAAACUUCCACUAUUGCCCUCUUUCUAUAGCCAGAAAUAAAGGCAGCAUGGUAGUCAUGUUACCCAGGCCACUGAUAUCGAGUCCCAGUGACUGCAGUGUCUGAGAGUCACCUCGGCCAGUCACAGUAGCUGACAUGUAUAAAGAAUUUCCAUGUCUGCAAGGCAUGGUGCUGUAGCUUUUUAUCUAAUACUCACAAGUUUCCUGAGUUGGGGGCUCUAAUGCUACCCCAGAAUUGAAAUCCAAGAGACAAUAGUAGUAAGAUGUAAAAGCAAAGCAUGGCAGAAGGCAACGCUCAGACAGCUGGUCCCUGAGCUUGAAGAUUUGUGGAAGGUACAUGUGACCAGUCUUGGCUCUCUGGGUAUUUUAAGCCAAAGAGUAGUAAGGCCAGGUACAGAGGAGAACUGGCAUUGGCUUCAGGGGACAUUGUACUGGGCUCUUAUAGAUACAUUCAAAGAAUGUCACGCUGGGCAGGCACAAACCUCUUAAACCAACAGUCUUCCCAAACCGUGGCUCAGAGCUUGACAUCGGGACCACAAGCUCGCUGCGAGCUGUUAUUUCAUUUGCUUUACAUGGCUGGUAUUUAAAAUCAGUGUCUAUGCAACCUGCACCUCAAUUAAAAGGCAGUUCAUAAUCUAUAUUUUGAUAAGGAUUUUUUAAAGACUCAUUUGUCAAGCUGAGAUUAAAGGCAAAGAUCA
rnacentral:lncRNA from 1 species